rnacentral:rRNA from 1 species
GGGUCAGUAGGUUGGUAGUGCCACCGGUACGUACUGGUGUCACUGAUUCCUCCUUCCUGAAGAACCGUAAUGCCAUUAAUUUGGUGUUGCGGGGAAACAGGACUGUUACUUUGAAAAAAUUAGAGUGUUUAAAGCAAGCUAACGAUUGAAUACAUUAGCAUGGAAUAAUGAAAUAGGACGAUCGAUCCUAUUUUGUUGGUUUCUAGGAUUGACGUA